rnacentral:lncRNA from 1 species
GGAACAGACACAUUUAGAACAGUCUGGUUUAUAGAGGAACAGUCUGGUUUAUAGAGGAACAGACACAUUUAAUAACAGCCUGGUUUAUAGAGGAACAGACACAUUUAGAACAGUCUGGUUUAUAGAGGCACAGACACAUUUAAUAACAGCCUGGUUUAUAGAGGAACAGACACAUUUAGAACAGUCUGGUUUAUAGAGGAACAGACACAUUUAGAACAGCCUGGUUUAUAGAGGAACAGCCUGGUUUAUAGAGGAACAGACACAUUUAGAACAGCCUGGUUUAUAGAGGAACAGACACAUUUAGAACAGCCUGGUUUAUAGAGGAACAGCCUGGUUUAUAGAGGAACAGCCUGGUUUAUAGAGGAACAUACACAUUUAGAACAGCCUGGUUUAUAGAGGAACAGACACAUUUAAAACAGCCUGGUUUAUAGAGGAACAGCCUGGUUUAUAGAGGAACAGACACAUUUAAAACAGCCUGGUUUAUAGAGGAACACACAUUUAGAACAGCCUGGUUUAUAGAGGAACAGCCUGGUUUAUAGAGGAACAGACACAUUUAGAACAGUCUGGUUUAUAGAGGCACAGACACAUUUAGAACAGUCUGGUUUAUAGAGGAACAGCCUGGUUUAUAGAGGAACAGACACAUUUAGAACAGCCUGGUUUAUAGAGGAACAGACACAUUUAGAACAGCCUGGUUUAUAGAGGAACAGUCUGGUUUAUAGAGGAACAGACACAUUUAGAACAGUCUGGUUUAUAGAGGAACAGACACAUUUAGAACAGCCUGGUUUAUAGAGGAACAGACACAUUUAGAACAGUCUGGUUUAUAGAGGCACAGACACAUUUAAUAACAGCCUGGUUUAUAGAGGAACAGACACAUUUAGAACAGUCUGGUUUAUAGAGGAACAGCCUGGUUUAUAGAGGAACAGACACAUUUAGAACAGCCUGGUUUAUAGAGGAACAGUCUGGUUUAUAGAGGAACAGACACAUUUAGAACAGCCUGGUUUAUAGAGGAACAGCCUGGUUUAUAGAGGAACAGACACAUUUAGAACAGACUGGUUUAUAGACGUACAGCCUGGUUUAUAGAGGCACCGACACAUUUAGAACAGCCUGGUUUAUAGAGGAACAGACACAUUUAGAACAGCCUGGUUUAUAGAGGCACAGCCUGGUUUAUAGAGGAACAGCCUGGUUUAUAGAGGAACAGACACAUUUAGAACAGUCUGGUUUAUAGAGGAACAGCCGGAUUUAUAGAGGAACAGACACAUUUAGAACAGCCUGGUUUAUAGAGGAACAGACACAUUUAGAACAGUCUGGUUUAUAGAGGAACACACAUUUAGAACAGCCUGGUUUAUAG